UCUCGUUAUCACCACCACAACAGCAAGCAUCCGCACAGCAGUGUGAAAGUGCCGUCGAGUCUCAAAAAGCAUCAUUUUCCUCCAUACCGCCGUACACGACACAAAAAGGCAAUCCACAACGACGACGACCAUAGGAAAAAGACUAAAGCAUCCUCGCUGCUGUGUCUGCGGUGUGCUGUAGCGUGAAGCGCCGCUGUUGCGUCGUAUUGAUUUCUUGCGGGUGUCGCCGCAACGCAACACAAAAAAAAAACAAAAAACAAAACAAAGAUAAGAAGAGGAGGAAGAGAAAUCGAAGCACUCUUUCACGUUCUCUGCGCAGCGUGUGUUGCGACUCUCCAAAGACCUCAAACCGUGUGCCAACUUGUGCGCUUAUUCGAUAGUUGCACAUACACACCCUCCGUGCGUCAUCGCCGCCGCACAGCCCCACUCCCCUCGGUCACAUCCGAACAACGAAGGACGCCACAAAAAAAAAAACAAUACGGGAGAAAGCAAAAAAGGGAACUGCACACUGACGAAGCGAAGCGAUUUCUCUCUCCUCCUUAUUCUUUGUGUUAUAUAUAUAUAUAUAUAUAGCAUGUGUUGCUGCUUUCGGAGUACACGCGCAGCUGUUAGCCCAUCACACACACCUCUCUAACCCUUUACCUCUAUUUCCCCCCUCCUCCCAAACACAGACGCCUGAAUAGCGGUUCAUCUGCGUUUUUUUCUUUCUUUCCCUGCUUGGCUUUUUGCCCUUUGCACUCACGCCGUCACCCACCCACCCACACAAACUCUCUCUCUCUCUCACGCCGUCUUUUCCUGUUUUCGUUUCUUGUCUCACUGCUGGUCUCGUUGCAUCGCUUUCUCUUCUCUUGUGUGUGUGCGCGCACCGCUGCGACCUCCCUUCUUCCCUACUUGACUCUUUCCUUUCUUGAGUGCUGUUGCCGCUGCCGCUGUUGGCAUUUUGCUGUUCGUCUCUCUGGUGCGCUUUAAACUCGCCAGUCGUGCUCCGUCCCCCCCCUCUCCUGCUGUCGCUGCUGCGGUGUCUUUCCUGCGUGCGUGUUUGUGUGUGUGUGUGUGCCCCAGAGUGUAUGCUGAGCCUUCACUCUCCCCUUCUCCCGCCCAACCCAUACACUCCUACACACACGCGCGCGCGCGUACAUAUUCAAAGCGUGUGCGCUGUGUUUGUGCUCGCUGCUGGUGUGCAGCAGGCGCCGCAGCCACAGCGGCGAGUGAGCGUUGAGAUCGUCUUGCGUGUCUUCCGUGUGUCUCUCUCUUUCUCUCUCUCUCUCUUUGGUUUCUCCGCGUGCUUUCGGUGUCUACGCGAAGGAACGGUACAACGAACACUUUUUAUUGAGUUCCUGCGUGUGGCACCCCAGCGCCCGUGGAGCACGCCGUUGCGAAGGUUGGGCCGGCCUUUGAUUCCAUCGCACGGCGGCGCACACCAGCCUCUCCCGACGUCUGCCAGCACUCGUUACCUCAUACACACCCACGCCCGUACUUCUUGUCGGCUUCGUUUUUUUUUUGCUGAUUUGGCUGUGCAGUCGCUGUCGCGUUCUUUCGGUAUUAGUUUCCCCCCUCUCCCUCCUGCCUCACGCCUUCUUCCCCUCUUUCCUUUCCUCUGUCUGCCUUCCUCCCCCUUCUCAGUGUCACUCUACAGUCCGCGUUUCUUCGGUAUUUUGUUGAGUGUGGGGGUGUUCGCCUCGACUGUAUUAUCCCCCUCCCUUUGUUGCUUGUUGUUGUCUUGGUUAAACACGGACUUCUCCUACGUGCGCGCGUUUCUCGUUACCUUCCCUCCCCGUCUGUGAGUCUGCCUCCUCUCGCACAAGCAAUAACGACCUGCAUGCAGCACCGGCAUCACUGUGUGCCCCUUCCCCCUUCCCCCUUCCCCCUUCCCCUUCCCCCUCCCCUCCCCCAUCCCCACACACUAUUUCACAACUAUAUCGCGCUCUGUGGCGCUAUUGCCCGUAUUUCUCUAUCACCUUCUUUUUCCUCUAACGAAAAACUCGACGCUGCUGUCCUGCCCGUGCGCGCCUGAUCUGGAAAGGAGGACAGGGGCCACCACGUCGACGGCGCUCUAGCAGGGACAUACGACGGGUGCAUAACAGUACGAACUCGUGCUGGUGCACACAUGCGUGUGCUCGUCGCUCAUUGAAGGAAAGACAGUAAAGAGAAAACGUCGAGAGAAGACCAUGCACGACUUCAGCAUAUCCUUGAACCAGGACGUGCGCGACGGUGGUUGCCUGUGUCCUCACCGUCACCACAGCAGCAGCCUUAGCUCGGGCACAUCCGUGACGACGUCAGAAGAGGCGGAUGUGAACGGCGUGAUGCAGCACCUGGAGGCGGCGGCCGCCGCUGCAGCGGCGAACUCAGACGGCACUUGCAGCCUGACUGGUUGCGUGUGCCCAGGAAAGAAUAAUAAAGAACUGUUCUCAUGCAGGCCUGAUGGCAUAGCGAGCGUGUACGACAACCACGAAGAGGACCUUAUCGACGGCGACGCUGGCGAGAGUGGCUCGCGAACCGGCGGCCUUUCGCGCGAGCGCACAGGCACCGACUUAUUAUCGGUCAAGUCUGCCGGCGCCUCUGUGCGGCGCGGAAAGGACGAGGUGGACGUGGCGGCGAAGGGCAUCCCGCUCGAGGUGCGCCGCUUCCAGUGCACCAAGAGCAUCCUCGCGUUCAAGGAAGCGACGAAGAACGACGCGACACCGGUGCCCGCAAAGCUGGUCGAUUUCAUCGUCUCCCUCACCUCGUCCAAGAACGGCUUGUGCACGGAAAAAGAAAUGUGCGACUGGCUGGUGGCGCAGAUGUGUGACCGCAUGGAGACAGGGCAGGUGUGGGUGAUUGGCAAGACAUCGAACCUACUUUUCGCGCUGCUGUGGCGCGGCUCGCGCAACUUCAUCGAGAGCGUUCACGCUAGCGGUGCAUCGCUUUUUCAGGUGUCGCAUCUCGCUGACGUGAUCAAGCAAACUCCGCAGGGGAACAUUAGCGGCGAUCGGCUUCCAGGCUCGCUGCAACCCAUCAAGCACGGCUCGGCAGGGCGUAAGUCAGCGCGCAGUCGACGGAAGUCGGCGAACACCGUCGGCGGUAAUGGAGCUGUGAAGCCGUUGACGGCCUGUUUCCUGGAGCAGCUGAAGCUGAAGGGGAUGUGCAGUAGCGGGGCGGCCUCGUGGCUCUCGCAAGGGAACGAAGCCCUUCCGGUGCACAUCGACCCCACCUUCGAUAUACCUGAAAGGGAGAUAUGUUUCUUCAUUACUAACACGGCCUAUAUGGAGGCUCUCUGCGAGUAUCGCUUCCGCCACCCGGCACUGGACCUGGUGCGCGGCGAGAUCUUGUGCGACUCGGACGACUGCUCCGUCAGCGACUCCGCGGGCCAGGCCUCUGAUUUCUCGUCGUGCCGCACGACUCCUGCGUCAUGGAAGGGACUGCUCGACGACACACUGGAGCUCAUCAAGACGGUCGCCGCGACGGACCCGAGCAUCUUGAUCUGCCCGACUGGCGUGGCCAUUGCAACGAUACGGCUGCGCAACGCAGUCCUGCUCUAUGAGGUGGCGUGCCGCGCUUUAGUGCGGUUGGUGCACUCCAUCUUCACCUCCCUGCGCACGCUGGUGAACUCGGUGCAGACGGAGUCGGGGGCGCCACUGAAGAGGACGCAGACCACCCGUGCUGAGCAGCCGCCAACCGCCAUCACAAGUAGCGGCUGCGGCGAUAGCAGCCGCCUUGCAGACAUCGGUGCAAGGGUAGAUUUGACGCUCUCCCCGGAAGCCGCACUCGGCCUCGUGAACAUGCACUACAGCGCUAUGUACCAGUUCAACUGCGCUGUCCGCACGUUCAAGACUUACUGCGAGUCGGCCCAGCACGUGUCUGCGGAGGUUUCGAAAAAGGCGGCCGCAGCGCUGAAGCUGAUACCAGAGGAUGACUUUGCCGCGUUCCGUGAAACACUUAAGCAGCUCCAGGGAAACGGCUGUGCCAAGACGGCGGACGCAUCACAUACUGCUACGCAGCCAUUGCCUCAUCAGGCGACCAGCAGCAGCGGCGUGCUUUCACCCUCCGCCGCCGGCGCGACGGAGGGGCGGGCAGCAGAGAUGUGCGGCCCGUUGUCCACCGUCGCGGUGGACGGUGCAUCUUUGCCGACCCCGGCUACCUCUUCGCUCGAGAGCGGCGCGCAUUCCACCACUCUGCUAGACGCGGGGGUGCGCGAUGCCCUGCUGAUGCUGUACGAGUUCAACAGCGCGCAGGAGGGAGAACAGCCACCCAUGUGGAGUCGGCAGGUGGAUGCGGUGUGCGCGCUCUUCGACGAAAAAGAGGCCGCCAUCCUUCACCGGAUCUUUCAAGAUGGGCUGGAUGGACUCUGGAGCCAGUGGCGCGACUUCACCAACAACGCCUUGGCCGCGGCCGAGAAGGCGCUCACGACGCCAUGCGAGUCAACGUCCCCGGCGGCGAAGCGGGAAAACAGCAGUGUCCAGGGCUUCCUCUCCUCGGACGGCAGCGCGCCUGAGUCUGGCGGCCACCAUGGUAGCUACGGUGAUGCGACGACCCGGAACCCUGCGCAUGCUUUUCGCUCUCUGCCAUCCGGGCCUCAGUGUUUGCAGGCGACCGGGUUCGGCUCUAGCGACGACAAGACGGACUUCGUCUCUCCCAGCAGCUCCAGUGCGAACAACAGCAGCCUCAGCGUCGCCGGGGCGGAGAAGUCGGCGGAGCGGUCGAUUGAGGCACUCCUGCAGGCGGAAGAUGUGGUGGUGAUUUGCAACGAGGAGUGCUCGUGCAACGACACACUAAAGCUGAUUGACCGUUUUCAGAUCCUGAUGGACGUCCCACUUGGCCAGGGCAGCUACGGCAAGGUGUUCCGCGCGUGGGACGAGGUGACCGGGUGCUACUUGGCUGCGAAGGAGCUGCCGCUGGACUCGUCCAAGGCCCACAGCGUCGCGGUGCGCGAGGUGCUGCAGGAGUACACGGUGCUGACGGAGCUGUCGCACCCGAACAUCGUGCGUGUGGUUGCCUUCAUGGUCAUGAAGGAGACAGCGCGCAUCUACAUGGAGUGGAUGCCGUCUGGCUCGCUGCAGGACGUGCUGCGCCAUCACCCGCGCGGCGUGCUGCGGGAGAGCGUCGUGCGUCGCUACGCGCGCGAUGUGGUCUCGGGGCUCGCCUAUUUGCACUCGCGCGGCGUCAUUCACCGCGACGUGAAGCCUGCGAACAUGCUGCUCAGCUCCGACGGUACGGUGAAGCUGACCGACUUCGGCACUAGCCUCGUUCUCAGCGACAACAACCGCACACUGAAAUCCAACGCACUCGCCGGUACGGCAGCCUACAUGGCCCCCGAGUGCGUGCAGGGGACCUACUCGUCCGCGUCUGACAUCUGGUCCUUUGGCUGCUCGGUGGUGCAGCUCAUCACGGGUCACCUGCCGUGGUACAACGCCCAGACGGGCACCUCACCGGAACCCAUCGCGCUGCUCUUCAAGAUUGGAUGCUUGGACGACACAACGCACCUCGAGCGACCGCAUGAUCCCCUGGUGACAACCGUAGCAGCCGCAAACACUGCUGCGGAGGCUUCUGCUAGUUUCGACGCCACGUUGUCGAACUCCAACACCGCCAGCAUGACCGGGUCCUUCGCGUCGACUUCCUCAAAGUCCUUCAGAGCGGCGCUGCCAGCCACAACCGUGACGUCACCGCCGGAAAUCAGCCAGGAGCUCAUCCACAUGCUCAACGCCAUCUUUGUCGUGGACCGCAAAAAGCGGCCCUCUGCGAGGGAGCUCAUGCACCACCCCUUCUUCAAGUUCAUGUAGGCAGCGUGGUGCGCAGGAUGGAAAGAGAGCAGAUACGAAAGACCUGUUCUUGAAUGCAUGUCUAACCUGUGCCUGCUCCGGCGCCUAAUCCCUUCUUUCCCCAUCCCCAGUCAUCGACUCCCCCCCCCCCCCGCAUGCUGUCUUCCUGUUGCCGCUGUCUCUUUGGCUGCUGCUUCUGCUGCUUGCGCUCCCGGAUCACAGGAGGAGACGGUGAGGUGAGCGGGGGGAGGGAGGGGGCCACAGCGCCCCAGCGCGCGGCCUCACAGGGCCCAGUGCACCCCCCACUCUCCCUCUCUCCUUGUGGGAGAAAGCCAGGUGGUCCCGCCCCCGCCCUAUCCCCAGCCAAAUGCCGAGCCGCCCCUCUGGUGGCCACAGGGCCAAGCACCGGCGACGCGCGGGGGCCAGAGCGAUGCACGGCGACUGAUGUCGGCGGUCAGGUCGUGGAUGGCGCGGCGCCGGAGCGGCCAGCGACCGCGAGCACGCUUGUGCCGCCGACAUGACAAGCCGAGUGCCGGCGUGGCUCGAAGGCAUCUGUCACCCGGCCCUCGCUGCCCACUGGUGGAGGGAGCCUGCGCCACCGCGAGGGGGGUGCACCGGGGGCGGUGGCCGGCAUGACGGGAGCGGCUGUGAGGCUGCCUGCGGAGUGGGGUGUGGGUGGAGUCCGCUGCCGAGGCCGUGCUCUCAGAUGGCUGAGCCGGCGCACUGCUGCACCGGCGUGCGCCCAGGGCUGCGCCGCGCCACGCGACGGGUGGCCUGUGGCAGCGCCGGGGAGGCUCGAGGGCGGAGGUGGACCUCGCGUUGCCUGGCAGAGGAGUGGACUCAUCCUAAGAGGGCAACAUCUCCGUUUUGGUCUUCUCGAGUGCUCAGACGAGCGCACGGACAGAGAUGUAUGUCACGCGCCGCGCUUUUCAUGACGACACACAGAGCUGCAGCGUGCUCUCUGUUAUGGUCGCUGCCUCUUCACGAGAUCUGCUAUAUGUGUGUGUGUGCAACCAUUUACCGUCCUCCGCUCUCUUCCACCACUUGAUCUGUGGAUAUAGAGGCAACUGUACUGGUGUUGGUCUUUUGUACUUUUUUUUUAUUCUUGAUGUGGGAGGUAGGCGCACAGUUGUCUGUGUGUCUCUCUCUCUCUGUGUAUGUGCGUGUGCGUGCAUCUUUCGCGUUCCCUCAACCAGAGUUGACUGGCUUCGCUUCCGCAUCAAUCGCCUUCAUCGCUUUCUCGCGCACAAGCUCUACGCUGGGUGCCCUGUUUUUGAUGUUUGGUGCCACCCACACUUUUGUGUUGUUCACCCUUGCGUGCGCUCUGCUCGCUUGGAUGUGUAAGGUGCGCUGCCCCCGAACGCAUGCUGUUUCACUGCGCAUGGAUGCCUUACUGCUCGUGAAGAGGACCAGGGGUGAAUGCGCACUCCUGAGCUAACGCCUUUUCUUGUUCUCCCGCUUUCCCUUUUCCUCUCUACUGCACUGCUUGUUUUGCCCUUGGUAGUGCUUGUGGAGCGUAGCGUCUCCGUGGAGUUCGCGUUGUGAUCUGAAUUCGUGAUGCUCCGGUGGUGCGCUUGCAUGUUUGCGUGUUCCUUCGCUUGCCACGUGCGUGGUGUUGUCGGCUGCUGUGUGACCUUCUCGUGCGCGGUAGGGCGGUGAUCGCUUUGCCUGUGCUGAGUUGUGCAUGCGAGUCUGCGCGUGCGGGGACGCGCUUGUGUGCGUCUGCGUCUGCCUGCGUGUGUGUGUGCUCGCUUGAGUCCUCUCGAAUGAAUGCUAGACCUCUCACUUGUAUCUGACGUCUGCAUGAUUCGGUGCCGUUCUUCACGACGGACGACACGGGAGACGCGCGCGCAGGUGCGUCCACCGACCCCCCCACCGACGGGCCCACGUGCAUACAUCUAUAUCCGUAUGCGAUGACGCGUCUUCUUUUAUUACGACUUCUCCCCUGUUUUAAUUUCCGCCGUUUCUCUUUUUCGUUGGUGUUUCAGUUCUGUUCGUUUUCGCGUGCGCAUGGGUUAUGCGGAGGCGACGGGGGGGGAACGAUCGGUGGCGAAGGACCGUCUGUUCUCCCCGCUCCACAUAUACGCACACACGCACAGCUCUUUGCAUGGCCGAACUCCCGAACGCGGCGGUGUAUCGCCGUGGGUCAUUGUCAUCGGCAUCGCCAUGUUCUCUUUUUUUUCCGUCCAUGGAUUUCACUGGUGCCCUCCCCCUCUUCUUGAAUGGUAUAGGUUAUUGUCGUUGUGCCUGUGCUCUCGUGUGCCUGAAUACUUUUCGCUCUUUUCCUUCGUUUGUGCGUUGCUGCUGGAGUUCGCUCCCUGCCGCGCACACGGACGCACGCGUUCCUGUCUGUCUGUCUCUCUCUCUCUGCCGUUAUGCGUGCGUGGGCCUCCCGCCUCGUCUUCCUCCUUCCCCUCUUGCAGUGAGGUCGGUAUGCAGUGACGAGUCGGAAGCAGAGAGGAACAACCUGAAACGGUCGGCAAGGGGAGGGUGACGCACACAGAUGGCGUCGCCUGUCGACGGCGUUCGUGUACUCGAGCGUCUGCACCUCCCUUCUUUUCUCCUCGUAUCUUGAGUUUUGGCGCGCCCGCAGGCAUAUGUGCAGGUGUUCAGAUGUGAGAGCAUGUGCGCCUGAGGUGCCGCCUGUCAGUUUUUCAUCUGCCAGCAUGGACACGUUGCACAGACACCCGCACACGUGCACAGGCUCACGUGGAUGGGGCAAACGUACGCACGCACGCCCCCUCUCCCCCUCUCCCCCUCUCCUCCUCUCGUUUCUCUCUCCCUCGCUCUUGCUCUUGUUCCAUCCACCCACCCACCCACCAGUUACGCCCACCGCAGACACCACGCGCGUCCCCUCUUCCUUCCGUUGCGUAGGCGGCACUUUUUUUUCGGGUCUCCUGUUUUUUUCUUUUAUUACUCUCGGGCUGCGUUUCUUCGUGGUGUGGUGCUGCCGCUCUCAUCCACACACACACACACACACACACACGUGCUCGAGGGCGCGACCCCUCCUCCACUUCCUCCUCCCCCCUCUUCUUUCUCCUGACACGAAAUCAUGUUGAUGCGUGUCCAAUGAAAGCGCCGACUUGGUGACCAACAAAACCAUGCACCGAAUAGCAGGCCGUGAUCGAAGCUUUACGAACACAUGCGACGGCAACGAAACGGGUGUGGCUCCUGCGCGGCGCGGAGAUGGCCGUGAAGGAAGGGGGGGAGGCAUCAAUGCCAAGAGGGAGUGUGUGCUGCGUGCGCGCAGGGUGUGGAGCUGCUCGCAUACGCACAUGCUCCUUCACCGACCGUCUUCCUCGCGCCUCCCUCGAGUGUCUCGUUCACUGCGCACGCACGCACAUGCGCGUGCUGAGCUGCAGCUCCUCUUAUCCCCUCCUCUCUGUAGCUCUACCAGCUCGGCGCUGAAUCGCCAUGAUCUUGAACGCCCUCGCACUCGUCUCUGCGGUUGUACCGGAGUGUGUUCGCGUGGCAUCUGCCCCCUCGCCGUUCCCUC
rnacentral:misc_RNA from 1 species